GUCAUUCCAGAUGCUCUGAUCCUAAUAAUCAUUUUGAUACUCUGUUCUAGUUUACUAAGAAGAGUCACCAAUUUUGUUUCUGUGGUUUGGUAUGAAAUAAGGUGGCAGAAACAGUACUCUCCAAAUAUCCAUGCACUCCUGACAUUUUUCAGCAGCCCAUAUUACUAGUUCUGGCCCAGGGAUUGGGAGAAGAAGAGACACGUGUCAUCUCUGAGUUGAGGCUGCUAAGAGCUGGUACAACUUUCCAUUCUUCUCUUCCCCUCUAGCAGUGACCUGAGAAGCUACAUAUUGACAUGGCGCUACCAUGGGUGGAGGAGCCUGCAUUGCUGAAUCACAGGAUGAAGGCGAAUCCCUGCCAGCCUCCAUCCAUCUCUGGGGUAUGACUCUGUCACCCAGGCUGGAGUGCAGUGGAGUCAUCACAGCUCACUGCUGCCGUGGCCUCCUGGGUUCAAGGGAUCCUCCCACCACGGCCUCCCAAAUAGCUGGAACUACAGGGUGCUUAGCAGAAUCCUCAGCUCACAGGAUGAAUAAAUGGAUACUAAAUGACGCACAAAUAAUCUUCACACACAACCAUCAACACACGGAAAGACAGCAGGAUGUCCAGACCCCAAGGUAACAAACAGAAAAAGAAAAAAAAAACGGCAUUAUGAUAGAAACAGAAAAUGUAACAGUGGAGUGCAGAAAAUACAAAAAAAAGGGAAAAAAUAAAUAGAAAAUCUUCAAAGAGGCAAUCUGCUUAAAUAUUCAAGAACUGGAAACAGUAAAAGUGAACAGGUUUUUAUUGAGCAUGUCAAUAAAAUGUUUG